rnacentral:lncRNA from 1 species
GACAGAGACACAGAGAAGAGGAAACAAAGAGACUUGGAGAACCAGAGGCAGAGAUAGUGCAAGAGCAGAGAUCAGAAGAGCAGUGGCGGGUUGGGGGCCGGAGAGACAGGGAGACAGAGACACAGAGGGAGUGAACUGGGCAGAGGCACGGAGGGGGACAAAGUCAGCGAACCGCUUCUGCUCCAGGUCCCCCGGCCAGGCUGAACGUUUUGGGAGGGGCUGGGACACAGCCCAUGGGGCCUGAGUGGAGGGGGUGGGAUUUGAAGCCGGUAGGCCCCGGAAAUAGAGUGUGUUCUCAGAUGCCAGGGGCUGGGAGAGGUCGGGGAGUAGGAGGGUUCAGACUUCUGGUCUGAGUUGGGAGGGGGCUAGGGGCCCAGACUCUUGGGACUGAUGGGGAUGGGAGCUGGGGAUUGAGACUCCUGGGUCCAGGGAGGAGGCGACUGAGGGCCGGACCCCUGGACUCGGGAGGGAGGCUGGUGGGGGUCGGGGGUCCCAGGUCCUAGAGGGGGGCCGAUCUCCUCCGGGCCAAGCCUGCAGCUCCCCGAAGGCAUGAUCAGCAGAAUUGGGGCCGGGUCGAGGCCUUGAGGAUUUCUCAGCCCUGGGCCUGGGGCUUGGUCCUGGUCGCUGGGGCUGGGUUCUUACCUCGCCUCCUUGGCUCCUUUCUUCCUUCCCCACGGCCGGCCAAACGCGGACGGUGGUGGCGGGGAGGGAGGGGGGCCUGAGCGUGGUGGGGGGUGGAGGAGGAGGCUGGGCUCGGUGUCACUGCCUAAGCCUUCCCCCCGGAAACCUGGCCUUUCCUCGGAGCCUGAAAGAGGAAAGACUGGCUGGGAAGCCGGAAGCGGGAGGACGGGGGACCUGGAGAGGG